rnacentral:misc_RNA from 1 species
AACGCACAUUGCGCCCGCCAGUAUUCUGGCGGGCAUGCCUGUUCGAGCGUCAUUUCAACCCUCAAGCACUGCUUGGUGUUGGGGCCCUACGCGCGCCGUAGGCCCUCAAAGGAAGUGGCGGGCUCGCUGGAAGCCUAAGCGCAGUAACUAACCUCGCUUCUGGUGGCCGGCGCGUCCCUGCCGUAAAACCCCCAAUUUUCUAUGGUUGACCUCGGAUCAGGUAGGAAUACCCGCUGAACUUAA